UACGUAGGAUGCUAGCGUUGUCCGGAUUUACUGGGCGUAAAGCGCGCGCAGGCGGCACUGUAAGUAAGGUGUGAAAUCUCCCUGCUCAACGGGGAGGGUGCACUUUAGACUGCAGAGCUAGAGGACGGUAGAGGGGGGUGGAAUUGCUGGUGUAGCGGUGAAAUGCGCAGAUAUCAGGAGGAACACCGGUGGCGAAGGCGGGUCUCUGGGCCGAUACUGACGCUGAGGAGCGAAAGCGUGGGGAGCGAACAGG
rnacentral:rRNA from 1 species